rnacentral:rRNA from 1 species
ACCAUUUAGUGGGGAAUAACUGUUGGAAACGACAGCUAAUACCGCAUAAUAUUGCUGGAUAAUUUCCAGUAAUGAAAGGAGCUUUCAAGCUCCGCUGAUUGAUGAGGAUGCGGCGCAUUAGCUAGUUGGUAGGGUAAUGGCCUACCAAGGCAAUGAUGCGUAGCCGAUCUGAGAGGAUGAACGGCCACAUUGGGGCUGAGACACGGCCCAAACUUCUACGGAAGGCAGCAGUAGGGAAUUUUUCACAAUGGGCGAAAGCCUGAUGGAGCAAUGCCGCGUGACUGAUGAAGGUCUUCGGAUUGUAAAGGUCUGUUGUGAGGGAAGAAAUGGUAAAACAGGAAAUGGUUUUAUCUAUGACGGUACCUUACCAGAAAGCCACGGCUAACUAUGUGCCAGCAGCCGCGGUAAUACAUAGGUGGCAAGCGUUAUCCGGAUUUAUUGGGCGUAAAGGGUGCGUAGACGGUUUUGCAAGUCUGAGGUUAAAUUUAGGAGCUCAACUCCUAAUCGCCUUGGAAACUACAAGACUAGAGUAUAGGAGAGGUUAGUGGAAUUCCNUGUGUAGCGGUGGAAUGNGUAGAUAUAUGGAGGAACACCAGUGGCGA